AUUGAACGCUGGCGGCAGGCCUAACACAUGCAAGUCGAGCGAGUGGCGGACGGGUGAGUAAUGUCUGGGAAUCUGCCUGAUGGAGGGGGAUAACUACUGGAAACGGUAGCUAAUACCGCAUACCAUCAGAUGAACCCAUAUGGGCUUAGCUAGUAGGUGGGGUAACGGCUCACCUAGGCGACGAUCCCUAGCUGGUCUGAGAGGAUGACCAGCACAACUGGGAAUGAGACACGGUCCAGACUCCUACGGGAGGCAGCAGUGGGGAAUAUUGCACAAUGGGCGCAAGCCUGAUGCAGCCAUGCCGCGUGUAUGAAGAAGGCCUUCGGGUUGUAAAGUACUUUCAGCGGGGAGGCGUUACCCGCAGAAGAAGCACCGGCUAACUCCGUGCCAGCAGCCGCGGUAAUUC
rnacentral:rRNA from 1 species